rnacentral:tRNA from 1 species
UCGAAAGUCGGAGGUUCAACUCCUCCCUCUUGCUCAAAGAGAAGGG